CUCUCCACCCCCUCAACCGGAAGUACUUCAGCUGAGCUUCGGGCCAGAGUGAGGCCUGGUAGCUGCUGCUGUUGCUGCCUCCGCCGCCGCUGCUGUCGCCUCCGCGGCUCCCUCGCGGGGGGUCCAGUCACCUCUUCUAGCCCAGGAAGGAGCCCGAGGGCUUGGCACCCCCUGAGCCGCGCCCCGCUGCCCCGGCGCUCAUGGAGCAACGAAUGAUAAUAAGAAAGAGGGGAACCAGAUGCAAACAGGAUGAAAUUGUUCAUUUGUGAUGAAGUAAAAUGCAGCCGUGGCUUUUUAGUCAUAUCAGAAGGAAACUGCAUCUGAUUUUCUCGAAAGGGAAGUUUGCAAGGAGAAGAGAAUAG
rnacentral:lncRNA from 1 species